AUGCUCACUUCAGCAGCACAUGUACUAAAAUUGGAACGAUACAGAGAAGAUUAGCAUGACCCUUGCGUAAGGAUGAUGUGCAAAUUCAUGAAGUGUUCCAUGUUUAA